AGCAACUCAAGCUUGCUUGCUUGCUGAUUGGCAUCUUCAGAGGUCGAAAUUCCAGCUUUUUCUUCUCUUAAAGCUUGGAGUUGGAGGGAGAUUCUCUUCACCGGCGGAUCCUCGGAGAGAUUAGAGAUCCAUACCGGGCUGUGGUUCGCGGGACUUGGUGAACCCAACUCUGUAGCUCGGAGCCAGGAGAAGAUCAAGUUUAG